rnacentral:tRNA from 1 species
AAGAAAUUAGUUAAUUUAUAACAUUAGAUUGUCAAACUAAAGUUACUAAUAUUUUAGUAUUUCUUG